GCUAGCGUUGGAUGGUUUUAGACGGGGUAGGGGUAGACCGAAGAAGUACUGGGGUGAGGUGAUUAGGCGGGACAUGGAACAGUUACAGCUCACCGAGGACAUGACCCUAGAUAAGAAGGGUUGGAAGAUGCGGCUUCACUUCCUGUUAUGAUUCCGUAUUCAAUGUUCCGUGUUCCGUGUUCCAUGUUUAUUACGAAUAUGUGUGCUUUCCUCUGCUUUAUAUUCCUGCAUUCCUGCUUGACUCUGUUUUAUAUUCCUUAUGGGUGCCGUAUCUAUGUUAUGUCAUCUGCUUCUGUGCUGUACUAUGUGUUUGUGUGAUAUCUCGUGACUUGAGCCGGGGGUCUUUCGGAAACAGCCUUUCUACUUCAUCAGAGGUAGAGGUAUGGACUGCGUACAUCUUACCCCCCAGACCCCACGAAGUGGGAAUACACUGGGUUUGUUGUUGUUGUUGUUGUUG
rnacentral:lncRNA from 1 species